UACGGAGGGGGCUAGCGUUGUUCGGAAUUACUGGGCGUAAAGCGCACGUAGGCGGACUAUUAAGGCAGGGGUGAAAUCCCGGGGCUCAACCCCGGAACUGCCUUUGAUACUGGUAGUCUCGAGUCCGGAAGAGGUGAGUGGAAUUCCGAGUGUAGAGGUGAAAUUCGUAGAUAUUCGGAGGAACACCAGUGGCGAAGGCGGCUCACUGGUCCGGUACUGACGCUGAGGUGCGAAAGCGUGGGGAGCAAACAGG
rnacentral:rRNA from 1 species